rnacentral:tRNA from 1 species
UGGUGGAGAUGAGGAGAAUCGAACUCCUGACCCCCUGCGUGCAAAGCAGGUGCUCUCCCAGCUGAGCUACACCCCC